ACAUAGCACAUUCGAGGUAGACGCAGAGAACUGAAACAUCUAAGUACCUGUAGGAAGAGAAAGAAAAUUCGAUUCCCUGAGUAGCGGCGAGCGAAACGGGAAAAGCCCAAACCAACAAGCUUGCUUGUUGGGGUUGUAGGACUCCAAUAUGGUCGUUCUUUCAGAUAGUCGAAUGACUUGGAAAAGUCAGUCAAAGAGGGUAAAAACCCCGUAGACGAAAUGUGGAAGACACCUAGGAGGAUCCUGAGUACGGCGGAACACGAGAAAUUCCGUCGGAAUCCGGGAGGACCAUCUCCCAAGGCUAAAUACUCCCUAGUGACCGAUAGUGAACCAGUACCGUGAGGGAAAGGUGAAAAGCACCCCGGAAGGGGAGUGAAAUAGAACCUGAAACCGUGUGCCUACAACAAGUCAAAGCCCGUUAAUGGGUGAUGGCGUGCCUUUUGUAGAAUGAACCGGCGAGUUACGAUUGCAUGCGAGGUUAAGUUGAAGAGACGGAGCCGCAGCGAAAGCGAGUCUGAAUAGGGCGUUUGAGUAUGUAGUCGUAGACCCGAAACCAUGUGAUCUACCCAUGUCCAGGUUGAAGGUGCGGUAAAACGCACUGGAGGACCGAACCCACGUACGUUGAAAAGUGCGGGGAUGAGGUGUGGGUAGCGGAGAAAUUCCAAACGAACUUGGAGAUAGCUGGUUCUCUCCGAAAUAGCUUUAGGGCUAGCCUCGGAAUUGAGAAUGAUGGAGGU
rnacentral:rRNA from 1 species